rnacentral:rRNA from 1 species
UGGGGAGUAUUGGACAAUGGGCGAAAGCCUGAUCCAGCAAUGCCGCGUGAGUGAUGAAGGCCCUAGGGUUGUAAAGCUCUUUUACCCGGGAUGAUAAUGACAGUACCGGGAGAAUAGGCUCCGGCUAACUCCGUG